ACUCCUACGGGAGGCAGCAGUGGGGAAUAUUGGACAAUGGGCGCAAGCCUGAUCCAGCCAUGCCGCGUGAGUGAUGAAGGCCCUAGGGUUGUAAAGCUCUUUUGUGCGGGAAGAUAAUGACGGUACCGCAAGAAUAAGCCCCGGCUAACUUCGUGCCAGCAGCCGCGGUAAUACGAAGGGGGCUAGCGUUGCUCGGAAUCACUGGGCGUAAAGGGUGCGUAGGCGGGUCUUUAAGUCAGGGGUGAAAUCCUGGAGCUCAACUCCAGAACUGCCUUUGAUACUGAAGAUCUUGAGUUCGGGAGAGGUGAGUGGAACUGCGAGUGUAGAGGUGAAAUUCGUAGAUAUUCGCAAGAACACCAGUGGCGAAGGCGGCUCACUGGCCCGAUACUGACGCUGAGGCACGAAAGCGUGGGGAGCAAACAGGAUUAGAUA
rnacentral:rRNA from 1 species